UACGUAGGGGGCAAGCGUUGUCCGGAAUCAUUGGGCGUAAAGCGCGUGUAGGCGGCCCGGUAAGUCCGCUGUGAAAGUCGGGGGCUCAACCCUCGAAUGCCGGUGGAUACUGUCGGGCUAGAGUGCGGAAGAGGCGAGUGGAAUUCCUGGUGUAGCGGUGAAAUGACGCAGAUAUCAGGAGGAACACCAAUUGCGAAGGCAGCUCGCUGGGACGUUACUGACGACUGAGAACGCGAAAGCGUGGGGAGCAAACAGG
rnacentral:rRNA from 1 species